GUGCUCACUUCGGCAGCACAUGUACUAAAAUUGGAAUGAUACAGAGAAGAUUAACAUGGCCUCUGUGCAAGGCUGACAUGAAAAUUUGUGAAGCAUUCCAUAUUAUA
rnacentral:snRNA from 1 species